GAUGAACGCUGGCGGCGUGCCUAAUACAUGCAAGUAGAACGCUGAAGGAAGGAGCUUGCUCUUUCCGGAUGAGUUGCGAACGGGUGAGUAACGCGUAGGUAACCUGCCUGGUAGCGGGGGAUAACUAUUGGAAACGAUAGCUGAUACCGCAUAACAGUAGAUGUUGCAUGAUAUCUACUUAAAAGGUGCAAUUGCACCACUACCAGAUGGACCUGCGUUGUAUUAGCUAGUUGGUGAGGUAACGGCUCACCAAGGCGACGAUACAUAGCCGACCUGAGAGGGUGAUCGGCCACACUGGGACUGAGACACGGCCCAGACUCCUACGGGAGGCAGCAGUAGGGAAUCUUCGGCAAUGGACGGAAGUCUGACCGAGCAACGCCGCGUGAGUGAAGAAGGGUUUCGGAUCGUAAAGCUCUGUUGUAAGAGAAGAACGAGUGUGAGAGUGGAAAGUUCACACUGUGACGGUAUCUUACCAGAAAGGGACGGCUAACUACGUG
rnacentral:rRNA from 1 species